rnacentral:rRNA from 1 species
AGUGAACGCUGGCGGUAGGCCUAACACAUGCAAGUCGAACGGCAGCACAGUAAGAGUUUGCUCUUACGGGUGGCGAGUGGCGGACGGGUGAGGAAUACAUCGGAAUCUACUUUUUCGUGGGGGAUAACGUAGGGAAACUUAUGCUAAUACCGCAUACGACCUACGGGUGAAAUCAGGGGAUCUUCGGACCUUGCGCGACUGAUUUAGCUGACGUCGGAUGAGCUAGUUGGCAAGGUAAAGGCCGACCAAGGCAACGAUCCGUAGCUGCUCGGAGAGGGUGAGAGGCAACACUGGAAAUGAGACACGGUCAAGACGCCUACGGGAGGAAGAAGGAGGGAAGAGUCCGCAAGGGGCGAAAGCCGGACGGAGCAACGACGCGUGAGUGAUGAAGGUCUUCGGAUCGGAAAACGCUGUUAUUAGGGAAGAACAAAUGUGUAAGUAAAUAUGCACGUCUGGACGGUACCUAAUCAGAAAGCCACGGCUAACUACGUG